rnacentral:misc_RNA from 1 species
CAGGUCGCUUCGCCGUAAACUCCAACCCUGAACGAACUGCAGUUGCUCGGGGAGCCCUCAAGGAGGACGCGGGACUGAAACUCUUGUAACUACAUCUGAUUACUUAUUAAUAAGUA